AAAACAAGCAGAGGGGGCUUAGUGGUGGGGUGACUGCGUACCUUUUGUAUAAUGGGUCAGCGACUUAUAUUCUGUAGCAAGGUUAACCGAAUAGGGGAGCCGGAGGGAAACCGAGUCUUAAUUGGGCGUUAAGUUGCAGGGUAUAGACCCGAAACCCGGUGAUCUAGCCAUGGGCAGGUUGAAGGUUGGGUAACACUAACUGGAGGACCGAACCGACUAAUGUUGAAAAAUUAGCGGAUGACCUGUGGCUGGGGGUGAAAGGCCAAUCAAACCGGGAGAUAGCUGGUUCUCCCCGAAAGCUAUUUAGGUAGCGCCUCGUGAAUUCAUCUCCGGGGGUAGAGCACUGUUUCGGCUAGGGGGCCAUCCCGGCUUACCAACCCGAUGCAAACUGCGAAUACCGGAGAAUGUUAUCACGGGAGACACACGGCGGGUGCUAACGUCCGUCGUGAAGAGGGAAACAACCCAGACCGCCAGCUAAGGUCCCAAAGUCAUGGUUAAGUGGGAAACGAUGUGGGAAGGCCCAGACAGCCAGGAUGUUGGCUUAGAAGCAGCCAUCAUUUAAAGAAAGCGUAAUAGCUCACUGGUCGAGUCGGCCUGCGCGGAAGAUGUAACGGGGCUAAACCAU
rnacentral:rRNA from 1 species